GGCCCUCACUGUCUGCUGUUGUCGCAGAGACAACCUCCGACCGCCACCGUCGCUGAUGAGCCUUAGCCACCCUCCGCCGCUAUCUCUGCUUGUUGUCAUUGCUAUGGAACCCCGAUCGGCCACCACUUGAUGAUACUGUAAUAUAAAUACACCUGCUGGUUCGUUUUAUAGAACGAGAAAUGUCACGUAACAAAUCUCACGACAAGUUUCUCAAAAGGAACCGACUUCGAACGAUUGGAACUUACGCUUCAAGGGUGAGUGCUUACGGCCCCUUUUCAAUAUUAUUUCGGGGGGGAAUACAUGUGCCUAUAUAUUUUGUUUAUACAAAUAUAUUACCUUUUUAUGCGAAAAACCUAGUUUAUAAAAAUAUUAUUAUUUAACAAUUUACUAUAUUGUUGCGGAUAAACUAGUAUGAAUUUUCGUAUACGUAUUAUGGUUAUUUUAUUGUGAAAUAACCAUUUCACACAACAAAUACUACAUGAUACAAAGUUUUAUGAUUUUUUUUAUAUUAUAACAAGUACGUUAUGAAAUUGUGUAGUAUUUCAAUGGUUCAAGAUAUUACUAUACAUGUAUAUUUAUAUGUUUAUAUGCAUAAAGUUUAUACAUGUACAUAUGUUCAUUAAUUUGAAACAUUCAUUUUUAGUCUUGUAUGAUAUGCAUACUACCCGUUUAAAGUGUUUCAAAGUUUCAAGACUUCUAUACAUGAAUACUUUUACGCAUCGCUUUACACACAUAUACAAGUUCGUUAUGUCAAUACAUAUCUUUAUAAAAGCGAGUAAUUUAUACUUCUAUAAAUACGUCAACCAUACUCGGCUUUUACAAAUGCUAUACUUCGAAAUUCAUUAUGCCCGGUACUUAACUAUAAUUAAGUUAGGGCUGAGAGUUAUUCACAAACUUUUCGUUAAUGGUUUUUGAGUGAGACGCUACUAUUCAUUAGCUGAGUUUAAUUACUUAGCCUGCCCCACACUGCUAUAAUCGUUAAUCUUCGGAGCGAGGUACAUAUGUAUAGAUCUAUAUGGGGUCGACAACCCCACCUGCGGUUGCUAGCUACAACCAUCGACUGAUCAAUCGAAGCAGGUGAUAUGUGUCUACGAUCGUUACUACGACAUCCAAUGAAGCGUCGUAUGGAGGGG